UCCCCCCCUGCACUGGGCUGGAUUGGGCUGGGUGGGAUUUCCUCCUCCCUCCCCCCAGGCUUCCUGCACCGCCCUGGGCAAACCCAUCCACUCCUUUUGUGCUUUUGUUGUGUUUUGUGCUUUGUCCUCGCAGUUCCCGCAUCCCGGGGCCCAUCCUGGUUCCUCUGGGAUCAUCCCUCCCCUUUACAGCAUCCCGCUCCCAUUCCUGGCCUCAGAUUUCCACAACAAUCCCCGAUUUCGCACCCGACGAGGCGGAGAUUCCCCCUCCGAGCCCUCGGGGGCUGAGCUGCGGCUUCCCCGAGCUCCCGUGGCCGGGGGGGAUGAACCGUGCCGGGUUCGGGGGCGCGGAGGGGGCCCUGGGCUCGUUCCAAGCCCCGCUAUCCGAGCCUGCCCCUGCCUGCACCGGGACCGGCCCGGGCGAGGCUCCUCCCGCGGCUGCUCCCGCAGACCGGCGGGCACCGCUGGGAACCGCAGGAUGCAAACAGAAAACACCGGGGCGGCUCCGGUCCCCGAGGGCUCCCGGUCCCCGCCAGGAAAGCAGGAUCCAGCCGCGGAUCCAGUGGGAAUGAAUCCAACCCGAGCAUCUCCCAUUUCCUCCAGCCGGGAAUUCCUCCCUUCCCUUUGCCCCCGAGCGUUUGGAAUCCGAGGGUCCGGGAGCUGCAGCCACCGGAGCAGGUUCCCCACAUCGCUCCCAGCCUUUCCUGUGCCUUUUCUCCGAGCUCUGCAUUCCCCGGCCGCCGUUGCCUCUUCCCAAAUCGGGGAUCGGGGCAGUUCCACCCCGACCCCGGCAGCUUUUCCCAGAAAAGAAGGAAUUUUCUCACUGGGAAGGAGAAGAAAAAUUUCAUUUUCGGUGUUUGGCUGGGAACGCAUCCAAACACAGGGAAAGGGAAAAAAAAAAACCAAAAAACCCAAACAAUCCAAACCUCAACAUUCCCUCUUCCAGAUCCACUGGAAAAAUAAAAUUAAUUCUUGGAAAGAG